GACGAACGCUGGCGGCGUGCCUAAUACAUGCAAGUCGAACGGUCUUUUCUAUGGAAGCUUGCUUCCACUGAGAAGAUAGUGGCGAACGGGUGAGUAACACGUGGGUAACCUGCCCAUAAGAGGGGGAUAACAUCCGGAAACGGGUGCUAAUACCGCAUAGUUUUCUUGAUCGCAUGAUUGAGAAAGGAAAGACGGCCUUUGUGCUGUCGCUUAUGGAUGGACCCGCGGCGUAUUAGUUAGUUGGUGAGGGAACGGCUCACCAAGACGAUGAUACGUAGGCGACCUGAGAGGGGGAUCGGCCACAUUGGGACUGAGGCACGGCCCAAACUCCUACGGGAGGCAGCAGUAGGGAAUAUUCUGCAAUGGACGAAAGUCUGACGGAGCAACGCCGCGUGAGUGAAGAAGGUUUUCGGAUCGUAAAACUCUGUUUUCAGGGACGAAUGUGCAGCUUGUAAAUAAUGAGUUGUAAUGACGGUACCUGAGUAGAAAGCCACGGCUAACUACGUGCCAGCAGCCGCGGUAAGAC
rnacentral:rRNA from 1 species